UAUAGGAUUGAUUACUAUAACCCUAUUGAGAUAUGCACUGUCUCGGUUACGAUGUGUCCUGUCCCUAACUUUUAACAGAUCUGCUACCCAGGCUAUUAAUGUCCUCACCAUGGACUCCGAGGCCUCCGUGUCACAGUGUGGAUGGUAGUGUAAGCCCAGACAAUCGGCUUUUUGGAUUGUGAUGCAAGUGCUUGACAAACUUUUGAUUGCCGAGGCAUCCACUUCAAAGACGGCUACAUCAAAUAAGCACAUGGCAGCCACACAACUAGAUAAAGAGGCAGGCUGCCCCCACGCGACACUGCAGGUGGGUUGAAGACCACCUCCCCACCCCGGGCUUGAGAACUCCUCUUGCGAUUGAGAGCACUAUUCUGUGGGAUUCAGAGAGGAACAGCUCCUGCCCCACAAAGCCCACAAGCCAGUUGGAGAUGGUCAAGGAGACAGAUUAGCCCUGAGCUAACAUCUGCCAAUCCUCCUCUUUUUGCUGUGGAAGGCUGGCCCUGAGCUAACGUCCGUGCCCAUCUUCCUCUACUUCAUACGUGGGAUGCCUACCACAGCACAGCUUGCUGGGCGGUGCCGUGUCCGCACCCGGGAUCUGAACUGGUGAACCCCCCACCGCCGAAGCAGAACGUGCACACUUAACCGCUGCGCUACCAGGCAGGCCCCACUCUUGAUCCCAAUGGUCAUGGUGCGAGCUCCCUAGGGGGCAGACUUUGCGAUGCAGAUUAGCAUGCAGGAUGCUUAUCAGGGAGUACUCCCGGGAUCGACAUGCUGGAAGGGAAGGAAUGGACAUAGGGUCGAACAGAGAGAGAAACUGGACUUCAACACUGUCCCAAGUCUAGGCGAAGAAACUGGGCCUUUAAACACCCCACUGACCAACCAGGGAUGUGGGCCGCCCAGAAAGGAGGCAUGACCAUGAUCAAGAUGAUUCUCUUCAGCUGAGGAAAUUCCCAGAGAGGACUGACAGCUGAGGGCUGUCUGCUGGCAACACUCCCAGCAGCUGGGGUGUAAGUCUAUCCUGGAGGGACUAAUCACAACUCGUCACGGCAUCGACUGGACUGUGCGCACAGGUGCUGGCUGACCAUCGACCAGGGAAUGGUGAACAUUCUCUUCAGAUCAAUUCAGAUGUUUCAGUUAAGCAGGAAGCAAGUUCAUCUGUGGACGGAGAGAUGAGGAGCAUGCGCUGUGCCAGACACGGUCUAACUCAGACCCGGAAUGUGGGGCAGCCUCAGCAGGGCCUAGGAAGCAGACCCUGCUCUAGGGUGGGUCUGUUUGCAAACUGGGACGCACUCCCAAUUAGUCUUGAAACUUUGUGCUUGACUAUACUUUUCGGUACAACACCUAGCUGGAAAAAAGUAUAUCUGGAACAACUGGGGCAUGUAAAUCGACUUUUUCAACUGUAAUUUUUAUGAAGUUUAAACACAGAUCAAGUAUUCCUGAUAAAAAUGUCGCAUCCUGAUUGAGAUGUGCUGUAAGUGCAAAUUGCUAGAUUUCAAUGACUUAGUACGAGAAAAAGAAUGUAAAAUAUACCCUGAAGAAUUUUAAAACAUUGAUUACAUGUUGAAAUGAUAGUAUUUGGAUGUAUUGGG
rnacentral:lncRNA from 1 species